UUGCCCUACGGGAGGCAGCAGUGGGGGAUAUUGCACAAUGGGGGGAACCCUGAUGCAGCGACGCCGCGUGGGCGAUGGAGUGCUUCGGCAUGUAAAGCCCUAUCAGCAGGGAAGAAAAUGACGGUACCUGACUAAGAAGCCCCGGCUAAAUACGUGCCAGCAGCCGCGGUAAUACGUAUGGGGCAAGCGUUAUCCGGAUUUACUGGGUGUAAAGGGAGCGUAGACGGCAGCACAAGUCUGGAGUGAAAUCCCGGGGCUUAACCCCGGAACUGCUUUGGAAACUGUGCGGCUGGAGUGCAGGAGGG
rnacentral:rRNA from 1 species